CGCGUAGGCGGUUUGGCAAGUCGGAUGUGAAAGCCCAGGGCUUAACCCUGGAAUUGCAUUCGAUACUGCUUAACUAGAGUAUGGUAGAGGGAAGUGGAAUUUCCGGUGUAGCGGUGAAAUGCGUAGAUAUCGGAAGGAACACCAGUGGCGAAGGCGACUUCCUGGGCCAAUACUGACGCUGAGGUGCGAAAGCGUGGGGAGCAAACA
rnacentral:rRNA from 1 species